rnacentral:rRNA from 1 species
AUUGAACGCUGGCGGCAGGCCUAACACAUGCAAGUCGAGCGGAUGAAGGGAGCUUUCUCCUGUAUUCAGCUGCGGACGGGUGAGUAAUUCCUAGGAAUCUACCUGGUAUUGAGGUAUAACGUCCGGACACGGGCGCUAAUACCACAUCCGUCCUGAUGGAGAAAGUGGUGGAUCUUCGGACCUCACGCUAUCAGAUGAGCCUAGGUCGGAUUAUCUAGUUGGUUGGGUAAAGGCCUACCAAGGCGACGAUCCGUAACUGGUCUGAGAGGAUGAUCAGUCACACCGGAACUGAGACAAGGUCCAGACUCCUAAGGGAGGCAGCAGUGGGGAAUAUUGGACAAUGGGCGAAAGCCUGAUCCAGCAAUGCCGCGUGUGUGAAGAAGGUCUUCGGAUUGUAAAGCACUUUAAGUUGGGAGGAAGGGAAGUAAGUUAAUCCAUUGCUGUCUUGACGUUACCAACAGAAUAAGCACCGGCUAACUUCGUG